UAGGGAAUCUUCCACAAUGGACGCAAGUCUGAUGGAGCAACGCCGCGUGAGUGAAGAAGGUUUUCGGAUCGUAAAGCUCUGUUGUUGGUGAAGAAGGAUAGAGGCAGUAACUGGUCUUUAUUUGACGGUAAUCAACCAGAAAGUCACGGCUAACUACGUGCCAGCAGCCGCGGUAAUACGUAGGCGGCAAGCGUUGUCCGGAUUUAUUGGGCGUAAAGCGAGCGCAGGCGGAAUGAUAAGUCUGAUGUGAAAGCCCACGGCUCAACCGUGGAACUGCAUCGGAAACUGUCAUUCUUGAGUGCAGAAGAGGAGAGUGGAAUUCCAUGUGUAGCGGUGGAAUGCGUAGAUAUAUGGAAGAACACCAGUGGCGAAGGCGGCUCUCUGGUCUGCAACUGACGCUGAGGCUCGAAAGCAUGGGUAGCGAACAGG
rnacentral:rRNA from 1 species